rnacentral:tRNA from 1 species
GGGAAAGAAGCACUGUGGUAGUGCGACUAGCUUGAAACUAGUUUAUGGGGGUUCGAUUCCUUCCUUUCUCG